rnacentral:rRNA from 1 species
GAUGAACGCUAGCUACAGGCUUAACACAUGCAAGUCGAGGGGAAACGACAUCGGAAGCUUGCUUUUGAUGGGCGUCGACCGGCGCACGGGUGAGUAACGCGUAUCCAACCUGCCCACCACUUGGGGAUAACCUUGCGAAAGUAAGACUAAUACCCAAUGACGUCUCUAGAAGACAUCUGAAAGAGAUUAAAGAUUUAUCGGUGAUGGAUGGGGAUGCGUCUGAUUAGCUUGUUGGCGGGGUAACGGCCCACCAAGGCGACGAUCAGUAGGGGUUCUGAGAGGAAGGUCCCCCCACAUUGGAACUGAGACACGGUCCAAACUCCUACGGGAGGCAGCAGUGAGGAAUAUUGGUCAAUGGGCGAGAGCCUGAACCAGCCAAGUAGCGUGCAGGAUGACGGCCCUAUGGGUUGUAAACUGCUUUUAUAAGGGAAUAAAGUGAGCCUCGUGAGGUC